GGAAGACUUAAUAGGCUGCAUUAAGCUGGUGGAUGGCCAUGGGGGCCUAGGAGACAAAGCGUACUUUAUCUGGGCAGUAACCUGCUAAAUAAUAACUGUUAAACAUUAAAAUAGAGGCAAUCAUCAGCCCGCUACCCAGUUGUGGGCAAAGUAUGUCCACCAGUCCUUCACGACCUGGCUCUCUGGUCUGUGGGUCUGGAAUUU